UGGGGAAUAUUGCACAAUGGGCGAAAGCCUGAUGCGGCGACGCCGCGUGAGGGAUGACGGCCUUCGGGUUGUAAACCUCUUUCAGCAGGGACGAAGCGCAAGUGACGGUACCUGCAGAAGAAGCACCGGCUAACUACGUGCCAGCAGCCGCGGUAAUACGUAGGGUGCAAGCGUUGUCCGGAAUUACUGGGCGUAAAGAGUUCGUAGGCGGUUUGUCGCGUCGUUUGUGAAAACCAGCAGCUCAACUGCUGGCUUGCAGGCGAUACGGGCAGACUUGAGUACUGCAGGGGAGACUGGAAUUCCUGGUGUAGCGGUGAAAUGCGCAGAUAUCAGGAGGAACACCGGUGGCGAAGGCGGGUCUCUGGGCAGUAACUGACGCUGAGGAACGAAAGCGUGGGUAGCGAACAGG
rnacentral:rRNA from 1 species